rnacentral:rRNA from 1 species
GACGAACGCUGGCGGCGUGCUUAACACAUGCAAGUCGAACGGAAAGGCCCUGCUUUUGUGGUGUGCUCGAGUGGCGAACGGGUGAGUAACACGUGAGUAACCUGCCCUUGACUUUGGUAUAACUUCAGGAAACUGGGGCUAAUACCGGAUAGGAUCUCCUGCUGCAUUGUGGGGGUUGGAAAGUUUCGGCGGUUGGGGAUGGACUCGCGGCUUAUCAGCUUGUUGGUGGGGUAGUGGCUUACCAAGGCUUUGACGGGUAGCCGGCCUGAGAGGGUGACCGGCGACAUUGGGACUGAGAUACGGCACAGACUCCUACGGGAGGAAGCAGUGGGGAAUAUUGCACAAUGGGCGGAAGCCUGAUGCAGCAACGCCGCGUGCGGGAUGACGGCCUUCGGGUUGUAAACCGCUUUCGCCUGUGACGAAGCGUGAGUGAAGGUAAUGGGUAAAGAAGCACCGGCUAAAUACGUG